rnacentral:snoRNA from 1 species
AAGCUACACUCUGUGUCAGAAGUCCUCAGGGAUAAUGAUCUGACUCAAUUUGAGCUUUGCAAUAAUAAAUCCAGUGUGUUUCUGUAGAGCAUUGUCCUUCUGGUGGGAUUAAUGCAGGACACACUGGGACAGC